UGAGGAAUAUUGGUCAAUGGACGAGAGUCUGAACCAGCCAAGUAGCGUGCAGGAUGACGGCCCUAUGGGUUGUAAACUGCUUUUGUUUGGGAAUAAUCGACAUUACGUGUAAUGUUUUGCAUGUACCAUUCGAAUAAGGACCGGCUAAUUCCGUGCCAGCAGCCGCGGUAAUACGGAAGGUCCAGGCGUUAUCCGGAUUUAUUGGGUUUAAAGGGAGCGUAGGCUGGAGAUUAAGUGUGUUGUGAAAUGUAGACGCUCAACGUCUGAAUUGCAGCGCAUACUGGUUUCCUUGAGUACGCACAACGUUGGCGGAAUUCGUCGUGUAGCGGUGAAAUGCUUAGAUAUGACGAAGAACUCCGAUUGCGAAGGCAGCUGACGGGAGCGCAACUGACGCUUAAGCUCGAAGGUGCGGGUAUCAAACAGG
rnacentral:rRNA from 1 species